rnacentral:rRNA from 1 species
UGCUAUACUGCAGUCGAGCGGACAGAUGGGAGCUUGCUCCCUGAUGUUAGCGGCGGACGGGUGAGUAACACGUGGGUAACCUGCCUGUAAGACUGGGAUAACUCCGGGAAACCGGGGCUAAUACCGGAUGGUUGUUUGAACCGCAUGGUUCAGACAUAAAAGGUGGCUUCGGCUACCACUUACAGAUGGACCCGCGGCGCAUUAGCUAGUUGGUGAGGUAACGGCUCACCAAGGCGACGAUGCGUAGCCGACCUGAGAGGGUGAUCGGCCACACUGGGACUGAGACACGGCCCAGACUCCUACGGGAGGCAGCAGUAGGGAAUCUUCCGCAAUGGACGAAAGUCUGACGGAGCAACGCCGCGUGAGUGAUGAAGGUUUUCGGAUCGUAAAGCUCUGUUGUUAGGGAAGAACAAGUGCCGUUCAAAUAGGGCGGCACCUUGACGGUACCUAACCAGAAAGCCACGGCUAACUACGUGCCAGCAGCCGCGGUAAUACGUAGGUGGCAAGCGUUGUCCGGAAUUAUUGGGCGUAAAGGGCUCGCAGGCGGUUUCUUAAGUCUGAUGUGAAAGCCCCCGGCUCAACCGGGGAGGGUCAUUGGAAACUGGGGAACUUGAGUGCAGAAGAGGAGAGUGGAAUUCCACGUGUAGCGGUGAAAUGCGUAGAGAUGUGGAGGAACACCAGUGGCGAAGGCGACUCUCUGGUCUGUAACUGACGCUGAGGAGCGAAAGCGUGGGGAGCGAACAGGAUUAGAUACCCUGGUAGUCCACGCCGUAAACGAUGAGUGCUAAGUGGUUAAGGGGGUUUCCGCCCCUUAGUGCUGCAGCUAACGCAUUAAGCACUCCGCCUGGGGG